rnacentral:rRNA from 2 species
GGCGGACGUCUGCGGAAUGAGCGGCGGAUGGGUGAGUAACACGUGGGCAACCUGCCUGUAAGCUCGGGAUAACUAGCGGAAACGCUAGCUAAUACCGAAUAACGCUGCGCACCGCAUGGCGCGCAGAUGAAAGGCGGCGCAAGCUGCCACUUACAGAUGGGCCCGCGGCGCAUUAGCUAGUUGGUGGGGUAACGGCCUACCAAGGCGACGAUGCGUAGCCGACCUGAGAGGGUGAUCGGCCACACUGGGACUGAGACACGGCCCAGACUCCUACGGGAGGCAGCAGUAGGGAAUAUUCCGCAAUGGGCGAAAGCCUGACGGAGCGACGCCGCGUGAGCGAUGAAGGUCUUCGGAUCGUAAAGCUCUGUUGUUAGGGAAGAACAAGUACCGGAGUAACUGCCGGUACCUUGACGGUACCUAACCAGAAAGCCCCGGCUAACUACGUGCCAGCAGCCGCGGUAAUACGUAGGGGGCGAGCGUUGUCCGGAAUUAUUGGGCGUAAAGGGCGCGUAGGCGGUCUCUUAAGUCUGAUGUGAAAGCCCCCGGCUUAACCGGGGAGGGUCAUUGGAAACUGGGAGACUUGAGUGCAGAGAGGGAAGCGGAAUUCCAUGUGUAGCGGUGAAAUGCGUAGAGAUAUGGAGGAACACCAGUGGCGAAGCGGCUUCCUGGCCUGUAACUGACGCUGAGGCGCGAAGCGUGGGGAGCAAACAGGAUUA